rnacentral:rRNA from 1 species
GAUAAACGCUGGCGGCGUGCCUAAUACAUGCAAGUCGAACGGAGGUAUGUAGCAAUACGUGCCUUAGUGGCGAAUGGGUGAGUAACGCGUUGGUGACCUGCCCCGAAGAGGGGGAUAACGGUUCGAAAGGACUGCUAAUACCCCAUGUGGUCUCAGGGAUUAGAUGCCCUGAGUCUAAAGGAGUAAUCCACUUUGGGAGGGACCUGCGUCCCAUCAGCUAGUUGGUAAGGUAACGGCCUACCAAGGCUUCGACGGGUAGGGGACCUGAGAGGGUGGCCCCCCACAAUGGAACUGAAACACGGUCCAUACACCUACGGGAGGCUG